GAAAUGCGAUAAGUAAUGUGAAUUGCAGAAUUCAGUGAAUCAUCGAAUCUUUGAACGCACCUUGCGCUCCUUGGUAUUCCUUGGAGCAUGCCUGUUUGAGUAUCAUGAAAUCUUCAAAGUAAAUCUUUUGUUAACUCAAUUGGUUUCUACUUUGGUAUUGGAGGUCUUUGCAGCUUCACACCUGCUCCUCUUUGUUCAUUAGCUGGAUCUCAGUGUUAUGCUUGGUUCCACUCGGCGUGAUAAGUUAUCUAUCGCUGAGGACACUGUAAAAGGUCGCCAAGGUAAAUGCAGAUGAACCGCUUCUAAUAGUCCAUUGACUUGGACAAUACUUUUAUGAUCUGAUCUCAAAUCAGGUAGGACUACCCGCUGAACUUAAGC
rnacentral:misc_RNA from 1 species